UCAUACUGGAUUUUGAUCUUCUCAAUCCUUGUACUCUGCUUUCCUGGACUAAUUACUUUUAUCUCCACCCACUUCGGAAGAUUUUCAAUAAGGUCUACCUGAACUUUGACUCUCGCACAGCUUGGGCGUGUCUUAUUAAUUGUUGCCAAGUCCAAUUGCACUGGCUUCCCCACAGCCGAUGCUAAUGAGAACAAAGUUUCUUUGUCAUAAAAGUGGGCAAAAAUUGCGGGAAAGAAAUCCAAGCCAUAGCUUGAGUAGUCUCCUCCUCUGGUUUGAAAUUUGCAUCAUAGAUUAACGGCCGCAUUUGAUACGCAUAUCCAUCUUUAGCAAUAAUGUAAUAAGCAUUUUUUGACAUUAUGCUAAUGAAAUCUUCCAUCUGGCUUAAUCUGAUUAAUAUAUGUAUAUUCCUUAACAGACCAAUAUUACAAUCUCAUUGGAUAUGUAAUUGCUUAGGAAUCUGCACUCUCAGAUCAUCUAGUUCUGGCC
rnacentral:lncRNA from 1 species